UUGAACGCUGGCGGUAUGCUUUACACAUGCAAGUCGAACGGGCUGCGGGGCGACUCGCAGUCAGUGGCGAACGGGUGAGUAAUGCAUCGGAACGUGUCCCGUAGUGGGGGAUAACCCGGCGAAAGCCGGACUAAUACCGCAUAUGCUCUACGGAGGAAAGCAGGGGACCGCAAGGCCUUGUGCUAUGGGAGCGGCCGAUGUCCGAUUAGCUGGUUGGUGGGGUAAUGGCCUACCAAGGCGACGAUCGGUAGCUGGUCUGAGAGGAUGAUCAGCCACACUGGGACCUGAGACACGGCCCAGACUCCUACGGGAGGCAGCAGUGGGGAAUUUUGGACAAUGGGGGCAACCCUGAUCCAGCCAUGCCGCGUGCGGGAAGAAGGCCUUCGGGUUGUAAACCGCUUUUGGUCGGGAAGAAAAGGCCGGGGCUAAUACCUCUGGUUCUUGACGGUACCGGCAGAAUAAGCACCGGCUAACUACGUGCCAGCAGCCGCGGUAAUACGUAGGGUGCGAGCGUUAAUCGGAAUUACUGGGCGUAAAGCGUGCGCAGGCGGUUUCGUAAGUAGGUGGUGAAAGCCCCGGGCUUAACCUGGGAAUGGCCAUUGUGAACUGGCAGGACUCGAGUGCUGGCAGAGGGGGGUGGGAUUCCACGUGUAGCAGUGAAAUGCGUAGAGAUGUGGAGGAACACCGAUGGCGAAGGCAGCCCCCUGGGUCUAACACUGACGCUCAGGCACGAAAGCGUGGGGAGCAAACAGGAUUAGAUACCCUGGUAGUCCACGCCCUAAACGAUGCUCACUAGGUGUUGGGGAAGAGACUUCCUUAGGUACCGUAGCUAACGCGUGAAGUUGAUCCGCCUGGGGAGUACGGUCCGCAAGAGUUAAAACUCAAAGGAAUUGACGGGGACCCGCACAAGCGGUAGGAUGAUGUGGAUUAAUUCGAUGCAACGCGAAAAACCUUACCUACCCUUGACAUGUGCCAGGAAGCCUUGCUGAGAGGUGAGGGUGCCCGAAAGGGAACCUGGAACACAGGUGCUGCAUGGCUGUCGUCAGCUCGUGUCGUGAGAUGUUGGGUUAAGUCCCGCAACGAGCGCAACCCUUAGUCCCUAGUUGCCACGCCGGUAGGCGAGGCUACUCUAGGGAGACUGCCUGGGAUAAACCAGGAGGAAGGUGGGGAUGACGUCAAGUCCUCAUGGCCCUUAUGGUCAGGGCUACACACGUCAUACAAUGGUCGGUACAGACCGGGUCGCAAAGCGCGGAGCUGGAGCUAAUCGAAGAAAGCCGGUCGCUCAGUUCGGAUUGCAGUCUGCAACUCGACUGCCAUGAAGUCUGGAAUCGCUAGUAAUCGCGAUCAGAACGCCUCGGUGAAUACGUUCCCGGGCCUUGUACACACCGCCCGUCACAUCACUGGAGUGGGCCUUUACUAGAAGCAGGUGUGCUAACCGCAAGGAGGCAGCCUGCCAAGGUAGGCUCAGGAUUGGGGUG
rnacentral:rRNA from 1 species